rnacentral:rRNA from 1 species
UACGAAGGGGGCUAGCGUUGCUCGGAAUCACUGGGCGUAAAGGGUGCGUAGGCGGGUCUUUUAAGUCAGGGGUGAAAUCCUGGAGCUCAACUCCAGAACUGCCUUUGAUACUGAGGAUCUUGAGUUCGGGAGAGGUGAGUGGAACUGCGAGUGUAGAGGUGAAAUUCGUAGAUAUUCGCAAGAACACCAGUGGCGAAGGCGGCUCACUGGCCCGGUACUGACGCUGAGGUGCGAAAAGCGUGGGGGAGCAA